rnacentral:tRNA from 1 species
GGCCGACUAGCUCAGUUGGUUAGUGCGUGGUGCUAAUAACGCCAAGGUCGUCGGUUCGAUCCCGGCGUUGGCCA